AUGAAGAAUCACCACCAAAAAAUAUCUGAGAACUCUCUCUCCCUCUGCUUUCUGCUUCAUCCUCUUCAAAGUUCUUGUCUAAUCUCAAUUUUUCAGCGAUCAUCCUUCUGCAAAAUCACUGGAAAAACUUCUAAAACUAUCUCUCUGCAAGGGGAACUGAAUCUUGAUUUUUUUUACUUCGUCUUCCACAAAUCUGCAAGAACCAGAUCCAUCUCUGCAUUACGUUUGGGACCUUCAUCAUCACUGCUUUGCAACAAUUCGGAAACCUUCAAUCAUCUUCAACCAACACUCUUUCUCUUCAAACCUUUGCAACCUUCAUUAAUCACCAUCAGUUCUUCAAUAUUCAACGUCCCUCUCACCUUCAACAAUCCGCAACUACUUCACAUCUUCCUCUUUCAUUCUUCAAUCGACAAACACUUAUGCAUCAUUCAUCAUCACCUUCUACGAAUCUUCCAUACAUCUUCAUCAUCUUCCGAAAAUUCAUCGCAUAAUUGA